AUGUCCAAGUACGGCACCAUCCCCACCUCCUCCUCCGCCGCCGCGGGGGCGCCUCACCUCGGCGGCGCCUCCCCGCUCGACUUCAUCUCCCGCGCCAAGGCCCGCGGCGCGACGGCGCUGGCCACCCGCCGGCCAUGGCGCGAGCUCGCGGACGUGCACGCCGUCGGGCUGCCCCCGAGCCUCGGCGACGCCUACCUGCGCGUGCGCGCCAACCUCGCCCACUUCGCCAUGAACUACGCCAUCGUCGUCCUCGUCGUCGUCUUCCUCUCCCUCCUCUGGCAGCCCAUCUCCCUCAUCGUCUUCCUCGUCUGUAUGGUCGGCUGGCUCGUCCUCUACUUCCUCCGAGACGAGCCCAUCGUCCUCUUCGGCCGCGUCGUCGGCGACGGCGUGGUCCUCGCCGUGCUCGCUGCUGUCACGCUCAUCCUCCUGCUGCUCACCGGCGCCACCACCAACAUCCUCACGUCGCUGCUCAUCGGCUUCGUGCUCGUCGUGGUGCACGCCGCACUGCACAAGGCGGAGGACAACGUUGACGAAGAAGUCGGCCGCUGGUACGCGCCGGUGCCAGCGCAGUAG
rnacentral:rRNA from 1 species